GUUUGGAGCUUUUUCUACACUGGGAUGUAACUUUCUACCUUCUUCUCUCUAUUCCUCUUGCUUCUGAUGUUUAUGCUGCUCUUUCUCUAAAAAGGCUCUAUUUUUUCUACUCUCUCAUCAGCUCUCUCUCUUCUCUUUACCCAUUUCUUUUUCUGCUCUCUCUCACCCAAGAUCUCCCUCUCUUCACUCACCCCACCGGUGGCACCCUUCAAGUUUUCUCCUUUUUUAACCAACGACACUUACCCAAACUUUACCCUCUCUAACCGGCGGCAACUAACCCAAACUUUAUCCUCUAACCGAUGGCACCAAACCCAGGCUUUACUACCCUCUAACCAACGGUAACUAACCCAAACUUUAUCCUCUAACUGACGGCACCAAACCAAACUUUAUCCUCUAACUGGUGGCACCAAACCCAGGCUUUCCUACCCUUUAACCAACAGCACCCUUCAAAACACUCUACUUUCCAACCGGCGGCACCAAACCCAGGCUCACUUCCCUUUUUUAUCCGAUCCAAUCCCCUUCCAAAAGACCUCUGAAUCUCUACUCACCGUGAGAGAGAAAAAAAUAGAAAUCCCCUUUCUCCCCCCCGAUUACUCCUUAUUUUCUGUUGCUUUUCAUCAAUUUUUUUUUUGGUUGUGGAUAGUGGUUCAAGCUGCUAGAAAACUUAGGGUUUCUUUUCUUAUUUUUGGUUGCCGUUGUGGUCUUUUUGUAGCUGCUACAAUAGUGUUUUUAUACCCAAUUCCAAUCUUGGGGGUGCCAUUUCCACUUUUUGCCAAACGCGAGUUUUUCACGUAUGGCAGAACGUAUUGUGCCUGGCAGGGUGCGCUAGCUUUUUCUUCUUUUUUUUUUAGCUUUAUUUAUUUCAUAUGUUUCUGGAGUAUUCCAGAUUUUGUUUAGAAUUUUAAUAUUUGAUUAGUGUUUUAAUCCGUUUUAAUCGUUUUGAUCCAUCCUUAAUUGCAUUAGUUUUAUUGGACUAGUUUUU
rnacentral:lncRNA from 1 species